GAUGAACGCUGGCGGCGUGCCUAAUACAUGCAAGUCGAGCGAACGGACGAGAAGCUUGCUUCUCUGAUGUUAGCGGCGGACGGGUGAGUAACACGUGGAUAACCUACCUAUAAGACUGGGAUAACUUCGGGAAACCGGAGCUAAUACCGGAUAAUAUUUUGAACCGCAUGGUUCAAAAGUGAAAGACGGUCUUGCUGUCACUUAUAGAUGGAUCCGCGCUGCAUUAGCUAGUUGGUAAGGUAACGGCUUACCAAGGCAACGAUGCAUAGCCGACCUGAGAGGGUGAUCGGCCACACUGGAACUGAGACACGGUCCAGACUCCUACGGGAGGCAGCAGUAGGGAAUCUUCCGCAAUGGGCGAAAGCCUGACGGAGCAACGCCGCGUGAGUGAUGAAGGUCUUCGGAUCGUAAAACUCUGUUAUUAGGGAAGAACAUAUGUGUAAGUAACUGUGCACAUCUUGACGGUACCUAAUCAGAAAGCCACGGCUAACUACGUGCCAGCAGCCGCGGUAAUACGUAGGUGGCAAGCGUUAUCCGGAAUUAUUGGGCGUAAAGCGCGCGUAGGCGGUUUUUUAAGUCUGAUGUGAAAGCCCACGGCUCAACCGUGGAGGGUCAUUGGAAACUGGAAAACUUGAGUGCAGAAGAGGAAAGUGGAAUUCCAUGUGUAGCGGUGAAAUGCGCAGAGAUAUGGAGGAACACCAGUGGCGAAGGCGACUUUCUGGUCUGUAACUGACGCUGAUGUGCGAAAGCGUGGGGAUCAAACAGGAUUAGAUACCCUGGUAGUCCACGCCGUAAACGAUGAGUGCUAAGUGUUAGGGGGUUUCCGCCCCUUAGUGCUGCAGCUAACGCAUUAAGCACUCCGCCUGGGGAGUACGACCGCAAGGUUGAAACUCAAAGGAAUUGACGGGGACCCGCACAAGCGGUGGAGCAUGUGGUUUAAUUCGAAGCAACGCGAAGAACCUUACCAAAUCUUGACAUCCUUUGACAACUCUAGAGAUAGAGCCUUCCCCUUCGGGGGACAAAGUGACAGGUGGUGCAUGGUUGUCGUCAGCUCGUGUCGUGAGAUGUUGGGUUAAGUCCCGCAACGAGCGCAACCCUUAAGCUUAGUUGCCAUCAUUAAGUUGGGCACUCUAAGUUGACUGCCGGUGACAAACCGGAGGAAGGUGGGGAUGACGUCAAAUCAUCAUGCCCCUUAUGAUUUGGGCUACACACGUGCUACAAUGGACAAUACAAAGGGCAGCGAAACCGCGAGGUCGAGCAAAUCCCAUAAAGUUGUUCUCAGCUCGGAUUGUAGUCUGCAACUCGACUACAUGAAGCUGGAAUCGCUAGUAAUCGUAGAUCAGCAUGCUACGGUGAAUACGUUCCCGGGUCU
rnacentral:rRNA from 1 species